CCGACCGGCGCACGGGUGAGUAACGCGUAUGCAACUUACCUAUCAGAGGGGAUAACCCGGCGAAAGUCGGACUAAUACCGCAUGAAGCAGGGGCCCCGCAUGGGGAUAUUUGCUAAAGAUUCAUCGCUGAUAGAUAGGCAUGCGUUCCAUUAGGCAGUUGGCGGGGUAACGGCCCACCAAACCGACGAUGGAUAGGGGUUCUGAGAGGAAGGUCCCCCACAUUGGUACUGAGACACGGACCAAACUCCUACGGGAGGCAGCAG
rnacentral:rRNA from 1 species